AAUAAGUGUAGUUUUACACUAUUCACGUUCAACGUUUAACCGUUCAUCUUAUUUAAAAAAUUUUUAUGAUUAGUGUUUUUAUUGCUAUUAGAUGAUAAAAUAUGAAUAGUAUUUUAUGUGUGAUUAAAUAUUUUUAUUUUUUCACAAAUUUUUCAAAUAAGACGGUAAAUAUUUUCAUUUUUUCACAAAUUUUUUAAAUAAGACGAACGGUCAAACAUUGGGCACGAAUAUCCACGGCUACACUUAUU
rnacentral:pre_miRNA from 1 species